GCUCCUCCUUAACCAUGAUGUUGGUUUUCCGCACAGCACCACCACUGUCAACCGCUGCCACCUUGCCACGCCGCACCGCGACGACCACCUGCACCGCCUGAAGCUGGCCGUCGUCGCUGCCCUUGCGGCCAUCACUUCUCUCGUUCGUCCCUUCUCUUUUCCCCCUUUGCUUGCUGCUCGGUUCUCCUUUCGCAAGCAACAUUGCAGUCGUUCGCGAGCCUCCUCGUCGCCGCGCACCACCACCUUCGUCAACCAGCCAUCAGCCGCCGCCCAGCCAUCUCCUCUCCUCCUUGAUUUCGGCGGAGAAUUCUUUGUGGGCGACUUUUGAAUUCGUUAAAGUGGCCUAUCAGUUUGUUUACACAAGUCUCUAAGGAUCAAUAAGCAUUGUCCAUCUGCAGGUUUGAAGAUGUUGCAUCAUUGGGAUCGGGAAUAGAGAGCUUGUAUUUAGUUUUGAUUUGCUAAGUUGACUUGGGUUUGUUUAAUUGGACUUUAAACUGGUCGUACUAUUUAUAUUUCCUUAUUUUUCGUUUAUUGGUUUUUGGGAUUAAACCUGUAAUCGAUUAUUUAUAAACCUAAAGUUAGUUUUAUGUUUUC